CCUACGGGAGGCAGCAGUGAGGAAUAUUGGUCAAUGGCCGGAAGGCUGAACCAGCCAUGCCGCGUGAAGGUCAGUGCCCUAUGGGCGUUAAACUUCUUUUGUGCGGGAGCAAUAAUGGUCACGUGUGGCCAGACGAGAGUACCGUACGAAUAAGCAUCGGCUAACUCCGUGCCAGCAGCCGCGGUAAUACGGGGGAUGCAAGCGUUAGCCGGAUUUAUUGGGUUUAAAGGGGGCGUAGGCUGUGAGGUAAGUCAGCGGUGAAAUGCCCCCGCUCAACGGGGUGAAGUGCCAUUGAUACUGCCUGGCUGGAAUGCGGAUGCCGUGGGAGGAAUGUGUGGUGUAGCGGUGAAAUGCAUAGAUAUCACACAGAACACCGAUUGCGAAGGCAUCUCACGAAUCCGCGAUUGACGCUGAUGCACGAAAGCGUGGGUAUCAAACAGGAUUAGAUACCCGUGUAGUC
rnacentral:rRNA from 1 species